AACGAACGCUGGCGGCAUGCCUAACACAUGCAAGUCGAACGAGACCUUCGGGUCUAGUGGCGCACGGGUGAGUAACGCGUGGGAACAUACCCUUUGGUUCGGAAUAACUCAGGGAAACUUGAGCUAAUACCGGAUACGUCCGUAAGGAGAAAGAUUUAUCGCCAAAGGAUUGGCCCGCGUCCGAUUAGCUAGUUGGUGAGGUAACGGCUCACCAAGGCUACGAUCGGUAGCUGGUCUGAGAGGAUGAUCAGCCACAUUGGGACUGAGACACGGCCCAAACUCCUACGGGAGGCAGCAGUGGGGAAGUAUUGGACAAUA
rnacentral:rRNA from 1 species